rnacentral:misc_RNA from 1 species
AACGCAUCUUGCACUCCUUGGUAUUCCAAGGAGUAUGCCUGUUUGAGUGUCAUUAAAUUCUCAACUACAUUGAUUUCUCUUUGAUGUGGUUUGGAUAUGGGGGAACAUUGUUUGCAGGCCUCUUCAAUGAAGUCUGCUCCCCUUAAAUGUAUUAGUGGUUACUUUGCAGAGACUACUAAAGGUGUGAUAAUUGUCUAUGCCUUCUUAGAAUUCUGUAUGAAACUGCUUCUAACAAAUGAUCAUUUGAUAUAUUUGACCUCAAAUCAGGUAGGACUACCCGCUGAACUUAA